GGAGCGAGCGCUCCAAGCGCCGGGCCGAACUGGCCCGCCUCACCGACAAGGACUUUCACGAUGUCGGCGCGAGCUGGAGCGACUUCGCCUACGAGGCCAACAAGCCCUUCUGGCGAGCGUAAGCGCCUGCCGCGAGUCUGAUCCGUCUUCGUCCUCCUCCCCGGAUCAGACUCGCUUUUUCUUCUCGCACGAAAGCCGAUGGAGCACGCCAUGCUGGCCGAAACCGAUCAUCGCUUU
rnacentral:misc_RNA from 1 species